CCAGCAACUUCCUCUGAAGCUGCAAUGCAUAAUUACAACCAGCUGCUACGGGCUGCUGGCCGGCCAGCUCUGCAAACAAGCAUCCUGAUACCCCGAGUUCCAGGGAGGCAACAGCCCGCUCUUGGCAGCAGCAAAUCCUCCAGAGGAAGUGCCCACACCCUUGGAAGACGAGAGAGAGCAGCCCUUGUCCCUCUUGUCGCUCCCGGAGGCCAGCUGUAUCCUCUCUCCUCCAUGUCCAGAGAGGGUCGUUUUUACUGUUCAUAGGAAGGCAGGGUUUCAGGAUGGGUGAAGGUGCACGGGCUAUUCAGGAAGAAGAGGGGAAACUGAUAACGCUUGGGAAGGGCAUCCAACCCUCAGAUCACUCACCCCAUCAACCCAAAGCUGGAGGAGACCCUGCAGAGUGGUACCGGGCAGAGGGUGCUUCCUUGGAAGGAAUUUCAAAGCAACCUGGAUUGGCAAAGGGCGUGCAGAGAGCUAGUCACUCUUGAAUAUGGAGAAACUGAAGCAUGAAGAGGUGAAGCGAGGUCAUCGCGGGAGCAGGUGAUGGACUGGCUUCUGGUCUCUUGCUCCAAGCCCACCUCCACUUCGUCUCUCUCAUAAACAUCCAUCAACAACUUCAUCUCCAGGCCCAACACUGCAAACCAGGACCCACAGUGUACAGAGCAUCUAAGUGCAAACAGGAUCUCCACCAACCUGGGCAGAGCCAGGGUCUGAGCAGAAACGAAGGAAAGACAAGUGUUACCCCUGGGGGCAGAAACUCACAGUGAUGUGCCAGGAACAAGGAAGGGAUGAGUGAAAGCUCCACCUGAUUGGUCCAUCCAGCACUAACAGAUCAAGAUUAUAUCAACCUAAUGGCAAGACCUCCUCAAUGUUUACUUUAUUUAAUAACCGAUUUUUGACACUAUACUUAGAGAUUUUCCUUCCUUAAUAUCAUAACUGUGCAGAAAAAUAGG